rnacentral:rRNA from 1 species
UACGUAGGUGACGAGCGUUAUCCGGAAUUACUGGGCGUAAAGCGCACGCAGGCGGUCCUUUAAGUCUGACGUGAAAUCUCUCGGCUUAACUGGGAGGGGUCGUUGGAAACUGGGGGGCUUGAGGCGACGAGAGGGGUGCGGAAUUCCCGGUGUAGUGGUGGAAUGCGUAGAUAUCGGGAGGAACACCAGUGGCGAAAGCGGCACCCUGGCGUUAGCCUGACGCUCAUGUGCGAAAGCGUGGGGAGCGAAC